rnacentral:tRNA from 1 species
GGGCCCAUAGCUCAGUUGGUUAGAGCGUCCGGCUCAUAACCGGCAGGUCCUAGGUUCAAAUCCUAGUGGGCCCACCA